GAUGAACGCUAGCUACAGGCUUAACACAUGCAAGUCGAGGGGUAACGAGAGGAAAGCUUGCUUUCCUUGUCGACGACCGGCGCACGGGUGAGUAACGCGUAUCCAACCUGCCCCCAACUAGGGAAUAACCUUGCGAAAGUAAGACUAAUGCCCUAUAAUUUCCUCAGAUGACAUCUGACGAGGAAUAAAGAUUUAUCGGUUGUGGAUGGGGAUGCGUCUGAUUAGCUUGUUGGCGGGGUAACGGCCCACCAAGGCAACGAUCAGUAGGGGUUCUGAGAGGAAGGUCCCCCACAUUGGAACUGAGACACGGUCCAAACUCCUACGGGAGGCAGCAGUGAGGAAUAUUGGUCAAUGGGCGGAAGCCUGAACCAGCCAAGUAGCGUGCAGGAUGACGGCCCUAUGGGUUGUAAACUGCUUUUAUACAGGAAUAAAGUUAGCCACGUGUGGUUAUUUGUAGGAACUGUAUGAAUAAGGACCGGCUAAUUCCGUGCCAGCAGCCGCAGUAA
rnacentral:rRNA from 1 species